AUGAGGAGCUCGGGUGAUGGAGGUAACGCUCGAGACGGACUCCUGGCGGUGGGAUCAAUUCAAGGAGGAGAUGAAGACCAUAUGGAUGACAUAGAAGAAGAGGAGAAAGCUCAAGGCUGCGGAGAAAGGAACAACAGCAAUCGAGGAAUUGGAAUUCUGCCAAGAAAUCUAGGAGCAGAAGAAGAUGUAUGCAAGGGACUUGGAGACGAGGCAAUGGUUUUGAAGCUUUGGGAGCCUGCGACUGGCUCGACAGGUGGCAUCAGCAAGCGCCGGCCGGCCUCGGCACUGCUGUGGGUGGUUAUAUGGUGGGCGGAGCACACCAUUGGGAUUCGACAUCAGGGAACAGAGUAG
rnacentral:rRNA from 1 species